GGUGCCGGCAAGCACCUCUAACGUUUGUUUGAGGACCGCCAUAAUACCAUAGAAAACAACGACCUGGAAAACUUUUGCGUAGCGACAUCAUCGUAAGAGAUUGGAUUAUUGUACCAGUGUUGAAUGUCUGAACUGAAAUUGCUAACAAGCUAUUAUGUUAAGGAGGUGACCCGCUACAUCCCUUGCUACAUGGAGGAGUUUGGGUAUCUGACCAAUCACAGGAGGAGCGGAAGAGGAUAAGCAUCAGACAUCACCAACAAUGAGUGUGAAGGCUGUGUAUAAUGAGUUCCACAGCACUCAUGGCCAUCAAUGAACAGGACCACCUGCACUGGUAGAAGUACACUCACAGACCGGGAAUACCCACUGACUGGCAUCAGUUCCAGGUGCAACACACAGCAGGCUAAUGGAAGUUAAAUGGGGCCUAAUGGAGUGUACUGUAAUAUGGGAUGAUGUAAAAUUGUGCCCCUUUGUUAUUGUCCGAGUUUGUCGAAUGUAGUGAACAGUGUUACAAGCUAAUGUAGCUAAUGUAACCAUUAUUCGAGACUGCUAGAGGGUAAUAUACUGGACCUGGCUGCCUUGUUGUGGGCACCAGAAAAUAAAAUAAAUACAAUUGAA